rnacentral:rRNA from 1 species
AGAGUUUGAUCAUGGCUCAGAGCGAACGCUGGCGGCAGGCUUAACACAUGCAAGUCUAACGGACGCAGCAAUGCGUCAGUGGCAGACGGGUGAGUAACACGUGGGAACGUGCCCUUCGGUUCGGAACAACCCAGGGAAACUUGGGCUAAUACCGGAUACGUCCGCAAGGAGAAAGAUUUAUUGCCGAAGGAUCGGCCCGCGUCCGAUUAGCUAGUUGGUGGGGUAAUGGCCCACCAAGGCGACGAUCGGUAGCUGGUCUGAGAGGAUGAUCAGCCACACUGGGACUGAGACACGGCCCAGACUCCUACGGGAGGCAGCAGUGGGGAAUAUUGGACAAUGGGCGAAAGCCUGAUCCAGCCAUGCCGCGUGAGUGAAGAAGGCCUUAGGGUUGUAAAGCUCUUUCGCCGAUGAAGAUAAUGACGGUAGUCGGAGAAGAAGCCCCGGCUAACUUCGUGCCAGCAGCCGCGGUAAUACGAAGGGGGCUAGCGUUGUUCGGAUUUACUGGGCGUAAAGCGCGCGUAGGCGGGUUGUUAAGUCAGGGGUGAAAUGCCGAGGCUCAACCUCGGAACUGCCUUUGAUACUGGCAACCUGGAGUUCGGGAGAGGUGAGUGGAAUUCCGAGUGUAGAGGUGAAAUUCGUAGAUAUUCGGAGGAACACCAGAAGCGAAGGCGGCUCACUGGCCCGAUACUGACGCUGAGGCGCGAAAGCGUGGGGAGCAAACAGGAUUAGAUACCCUAGUAGUCC